ensembl:lncRNA
CAUUCCAUGAAAAUUUAUAAAAAAUUUUUAGUGUGCAAACUAUAACUUUAGGGUAACAAACACUAAAUCUCAUUUCUUUGUUUGCUUUUUUGGUUACAGUAACAGAAAUGCUUGAUUCAUGGCUAUAAAGAAGAUUGAAAUAAAACAGCCUGGAAUGCGAGGCUUUGGUUAGGGACAAGGCCAAUCUGAACUGCCAUUUUUCAAAGGAUUUCAAAAGGAUUGAGUAAAGACCCAUCACAUCACCAGUAAAAGAAAAACGAGAACCUAUUCCCCACUGAAGAGCAGAAAAGAAGACCGAAAGGAGUUCUUUAAAUGUCAAUGUUCAUAAUUGGGUACGAAAACCUGAAUAUCAGGUCUUGAAAUUGACUUCAGGAAACCUUCUGAAAACUACGGUUCAUUUCAUCUUACCGCCAAGAACCCCUCAGGACUUAAAAGUCAAACUCAGGUCUUACACCAGCAAGA